AACGAACGCUGGCGGCAUGCCUAACACAUGCAAGUCGAACGAGACCUUCGGGUCUAGUGGCGCACGGGUGCGUAACGCGUGGGAAUCUGCCCUUGGGUUCGGAAUAACUCGCCGAAAGGCGUGCUAAUACCGGAUGAUGUCGUAAGACCAAAGAUUUGUCGCCCAGGGAUGAGCCCGCGUAAGAUUAGGUAGUUGGUGAGGUAAAGGCUCACCAAGCCGACGAUCUUUAGCUGGUCUGAGAGGAUGAUCAGCCACACUGGACUGAGACACGGCCCAA
rnacentral:rRNA from 1 species